GCCGUGGCUCACGCUCUGCAGUGCUUUUCUUAGCAGAAGAAGGUGCCGACCAUCUGGACCACAAAGAUACCCAUAGGCACCUGCCCUGCACUGAAUGGCAUCCGUGUCCUGAGUCUCCUCUGGAUCAUCUCAGGACACACUAGCCAGAUGACCGCAUGGCUGUCUCUGGAUAAUGUGCUUGAAUGGAAAACCAGAGUGCUUAAAAACCCACUGUACCUUUCUUCUUGGAGUGGCCCGUUCUACCUUGGGGUUGAUACAUUUUUCCUGAUCAGUGGUUGGUUAAAGUGCAAGCUCAUUUUUAAAGAUGCCUCAGAAUUCAGACAAAGGACUAACCCCCAAGUUCAUACUCAGAUACUUUUUCAGUUGCCUGAUAAGGCUGCAGCCGCUGCACGUGUACUCGGUGUGCCUGUUGGUGGGACUGUUCUCUCUUGUUCCCUGGGGACCUGUCUGGGAGGUGCCCAAAUUCCACUGGGAUAACUGCCGCCAGGCUUGGUGGACGAAUCUGCUGUUGCUGAAUAACUUGGUGUCGGUGCAGAAUGCGUGCAAUGGUUGGACGUGGUACCUUGCCACUGAUUUCCAGUUCCAUCUCAC